rnacentral:rRNA from 1 species
AGUCGUAACAAGGUUUCCGUAGGUGAACCUGCGGAAGGAUCAUUGUCGAAACCUGCCAAGGCAGAACGACCCGCGAACUCGUUCCACGACACGGGGAGCCGCCUUACGGUUCCCUAUUCCCGUAGGGGAGAGAGCGCCCGGCGUUUCUCGCUCCGACGGUCUAACAACGAACCCCGGCGCGGACCGCGCCAAGGAAGCAUCAAUGGGAGUGCUUGCUAUCGUUGCCCCGGAAACGGUGCGCGUGUCGAAAGCAACGCCUUCUUUUAUUGUAUCCAUAACGACUCUCGGCAACGGAUAUCUCGGCUCUCGCAUCGAUGAAGAACGUAGCGAAAUGCGAUACUUGGUGUGAAUUGCAGAAUCCCGUGAACCAUCGAGUCUUUGAACGCAAGUUGCGCCCGAAGCCUUUAGGCCGAGGGCACGUCUGCCUGGGUGUCACGCACCGUUGCCCCCCCAAAACGAACCCGCUGCUCCAGCGGGCAUCCGACAAGGGGGCGGAUAUUGGCCUCCCGUGCGAGUCUGUUCUCGCGGUUGGCCGAAAUACGGGUCCUCGAAAGCGGAUGCCGCGACGUUCGGUGGUGGAAUGAAAAGGAAGCCCUCGAGCUCCCGUCGCUGNCGGCNGCUGUCGAUCAUAGGAUCGUAUGACCCUACGGAAGCCUCGCCAUCGAGGCGCACACGCAUCGCGACCCCA